UUUAUCAACCACACCACCCUGAAUGCACCCUAUCACGUUUGAUCUCAGAAGCUGAGCAGGCUCUGGCUUGGCUAAAG
rnacentral:rRNA from 1 species